GUCGUUGCUGAAGCUGUCAUUUCUGCCAUAACUAGUGUUUAUUGGAGAUUUGAAACGUUGAUUAUCACAAGAUUUUCCUCCGCAUCCAAUUAUUUCUUUGUUUUGCGUGAAAAAAGGAUGGAUCCUGCUAAGUUCUACGGAAAAAGGCCAACUCGACAAUGUCGACGCGUUACUGGGCGUUCCAUUCCAGUUGAUAGUGAUGAUGAGGAGCUAAUGGAUGAAGAUGAAUAUUAUUUACCACCCCAGCCCGGCCGUCCCAUUGUUAUUGAAGCAACAGACUCUGAUGAUUCAGAGUAUGAUAGUGAUGAUGAAAUAUUUUCUGUCACUCAAGAGACGGUAUAUCUCAAUGAAAGCUUAUUACUGGACGAUGAAACAAACUACGAAUGACAUUAUAAAAAGAACGAAAUUGUUUUAAAACCUUUGAUUUAGAAUAAAAUUGAAUUAAACACUUUCAUUGUA